rnacentral:lncRNA from 1 species
AUUAGUUAUUUAUUAUUUAUUUAUUUAUUUUAUUUUUGUUUUAUUUAUUUAUUUAUUUUUAUUUUUUUAUGUUGUUUGUGCUAUUUUGAACUUUUCUUAGCACGUGAUUUUUUUUUUUUUACUUUAUGUGUUUGAUUAUUAUGGUUUGUCUAAAUUGGUAUUUGACAUGCUAGUUUGCUCGUCGUAUUGUUAAACGCGUACUAAUCCUUAUCUUCUUUUCUCUUUGCAUGAAUUCUUCCGGAUGAGCCCAAAUGGACUCUCCAUAUCCCUGUAUUUGAAUGUCGUCGAGUCGAGCCUCAUUAAAGUUCAAGAUUGAACUGAUAUACACAAGAUAGCAUACAUAUGCAGGCUGGUAUAUAUUGAAAGUCUUGUUAUUUUUUUAAUUCACUGUUGCCUUUAUUUAUUUAUUUAUAUCUUUGUUCAUUUAGUUGCUUAUUUAUUCAUUCAUUUGGGUCUCGAAGCCAAAGUGUAAAUUUAAUAUAGGUGAAGCAGAUUUUGGGUCAACGGACUUGAAAAAUAGUUUAGGAUAUGUUAUGGGCCGAAAGUCCAACUAGAUUAGGACAGGGUUUAUCGAUUUGGGCUCAAUGGCCCAAGUCUCUUUAUUUCUCCCUUUUCCCCUUUUUAUACUUAUUUGUUUUAUGUUUUUUUCCUAACUAAGUCGCUAAAAAGCUGAUAUUGCAAAACUUUCAAAAUAUUCCUUAAUCAAUUUCUUUUUCAACGAAUCGACGUUUUUCCUAAAAGUUAGUCAAAAGAUGUUUUCAAAAUAUUCCUUAGUCAAUUUUACCCUUGAUAGGAAUACUAAAUGCAUUCAAUGUUUUUAAAAUUAUUGAAUGGUGUAUAGAUGAUUUAAAUUCUCAAAAUUAAAAUUAAAUGAUUAUUGCUAGUUUCAAUUAUAAAAACUCAAUUUUCUUGAUAUAAUGUAUGGAUGAAGUAAUUUGUAUUGAAUUUCAAUUUUUAAUCAUUGCACUGAUUGUUAUUAUUGCACUUUAAAAGACAUAAAGGGAUAAAUAUGUAAAUGCAUAUCUAUUUAUUAAUUUCUUAAUAGAUGUGUCAAGUUCAUAGUGGUCAACUAAAACGAAACGGAGUAAGUAUAUUCAAAGGGUAAUAUGGUAAAAUUACCCCUAUGAUUUACUGCCUCUUAAUUCGUGUGCUAACAGAAAAAUGGACAAGUAAAGAGGACAGAUGGAGUAACAUGCACAAAUAAAGAUAGACGGAGGGAAUAAUAGAUAUUGAAAAAUAAUCUAGAGAAUAAGAAAUUAAUGUUAAUGAUAAAACAUAAACAUUUUAAUCUUUUCUUAAUUUAUCAAAAAUGAUAAGUAAAAAUAAAAAUUAAAUUAGAAAAAGAGCGACAAAUGAAUCCUAACGAAAGGAGUACAAUGAACAAAUUGAUAUAGAGAAAAGAGUAAUCCCUUUAUUUCAUAUUAGUUGAUCAUCUUAUUAAAAAUUAUUAUUUCAUAUUAGAUAUCCGAUUUACUAAUUUUAAAAAAUAUUAAUUAAUUUUUUUCUCAUAUCAUCCUUGUGAUUAAUUCUUUUUAAACAUAUUCAUAUUUGUUGUAAAGUUUUCAAAAAGUGUUUUAAAAAGUAAAUUAAUAAAAUUAUCUGAUUUUUCAACAUGCGUGUGAAGAGAAAAGCGUAUUAACUAAUAUUUGGACGGGAGAGCAGUAUCUUUCGACUAACAACCUUUUGGAUUGUCUAUAGUUAGGGUGGAUUUAAAACAGCGAAAAAAAGGUUAAUGGAGAUAUAAAUUCAGCUAACCAAGUUGUUGAAAAUUCAUAUCUUCAUCCAAUUAAAAAAAAAUAAAGAAAGAAAGAAAAAGAGAGGAAAGUUUUUGAAUUUUCCACUACAAUUAUGAAUUAACAAUACUCUGCGUAUCUUCAAAUUAAAGAGCGUAAGAUUUGCUGGAAAAAAAAAAACACAAAUUAAAAUCAUGCUUAGUAAGUAAUUAAGGCAUGGGAUGAUCCUGAUUUGCAGUAUAAAUAUAAUAGUAGUCCUAACGAAUAUAUUUAAUAAUGAUGAACAAAACUGCUGCCACCCCAAUCACUACUGCUUACAAAUCAACCAAAUCAAACCACAAAUAAUUCUUUUUUUAAGCUUAACUUGAUUCUUCGGUUCACUUGACUUUUGAUGAUUUAACUUGUGUACCCCACCUCAGCACCCACCACCGCCUCCAAAACCGCUGCUUGCAUGAUGACCACCACCUCCAACCCCAACGUGAUGGUG